rnacentral:lncRNA from 12 species
AGGCUCUCGUCCACAUUACUGUGUUUCUCUUCCUGCUGCUGGUUUUUCAGACUCCUGACAGUGAAAUGGAUUAAAGCAGAUGGUGAUGGAGACUCUUUCAGAUCAAGUGUGUACAUUGAGAACACUGAAGAGAGCAUCAUUAUGAAGUAUUGUCAAAGCGCCAGCCGUUCUCCAAAAUCACCUGCCGUCAAAAGACCAAAACCGUCCCGAGGCUCGUCUAAUCUUCCUGUAGAUUCUUCAUCAUAAAUCGUUUUUAAGAGACCAUCACGGAUCCUCCAGUAGCUCUUAAACACACUUGGAUGAAAUGCACAAUGUUUUCAUCAGCGUCUGGUGCUUCAGUCAGAAUUGACCGUGAGAAGAACAUUUCAUCGGUCCAUCAGUCGUCAUAAUUAAUAAAGAUCUCAAGUCUCAUGAUAACACCAAACUAAAAUACUGCUAAAUAUGCAAAAGCCCAGCCAACAAAUGAAUAUGAACUAAUGACUGUCAAAAGCAAAAAUGCUACAAAAUGCAUCAUAUUUGGUGUGAAAGGGUGAUUUCAAAGAGCAAAACAUACGCUAUUUUUGUCACAAAAUGAGUAAGAAACAAGUACUGAAUUUCGUUCAUAAGUAGCACAGGUAUAUUUGUAGCAAUAGACAACAAUACAUUAUAUGGGUCACAAUUAUCCAUUUCUCUUUUAUGCCAAAAAUCCGUGUUCCAUGAAGAUAUUUUGUAAAUGUCCUACUGUAAAUAUAUCAAAACUUAAUUUUUGAUUAGUAAUAUGCAUUGCUAAGAACUUCAUUUGAACAACUUUAAAGAUGAUUUUCUCAAUAUUUAGAUUUUUUGGCUCCCUCAGAUUCCAGAUUUUCAGAUAGUUGUAUCUCAGACAAAUAUUGUCC